GGGGAACCCACCAGUGGUCAUGCCUGUAUGGUGAGCCCGCCAGCGAACCAUAGCCUGGGGCACGAGGACUGAACAUUCCAGUACUGAGGGAGAACAAGAUGAUUCCGUGAGUAGGGCGGAGCGAAGCGGAGGAGCCGAACGCUGUGUGGAGUCCGUGCAGGGUGCAGCAGCGGAGUAGAGGGGCCCUGAGCCAUGACUGCACGCCUUGGGCAAAGUGAGAAACCGGAAUGUCAGCCGAAGGGUCUGGGAAGGCCGACCGGAGAAGGUGAGAAGUCCUGUAGGCCGAGGCAAUGCGGCUUUGCAAGAGGGUACCCAAGGACCCGGGACACGAGGAACCCCGUGGGAAUCGGGGGAGGGACCCCCUCCUAAGGCUAAAUACUUCCCUGGCGACCCGAUAGCCGAGAGUUCCCGUGAGGGAAAGGUGAAAAGGACCGCCGGAGCCGAGUGAAAGAAACCUGAAACCGUGUGCCUACAAUCAGUUGGAGUCCCCCGGAAGGGGGAUGACGGCGUGCCUUUUGUAGAAUGAACCGGCGAGUGAUGUUCGCUAGCGAGGUUAAGGCGAGGAAGCCGGAGCCGAAGCGAAAGCGAGUCUGAGAAGGGCGGAAAGUUGGCGGACAUCGACCCGAAACCGGGUGAUCUACCCCUGGUCAGGGUGAAGUGCGGGUAACACCGCAUGGAGGCCCGAACCCACCGGCGUUGAAAAGCCGGGGGAUGAACUGGGGGUAGGGGAGAAAUUCCAAUCGAACUCGGAGAUAGCUGGUUCUCCCCGAAAUCGCUUGAGGGCGAGCGUCAGGCGGUCAGGGACGGAGGUAGAGCACCGAUUGAGUGCGGGGCCUGUCCGAGGUUACCAAGUUCAGUCGAACUCCGAAUGCCGUUUCAUGGAGCCUGGCAGUGAGACUACGAGUGCUAAGAUCCGUGGUCGAGAGGGAAACAGCCCAGACCCACAGCUAAGGUCCCGAAGUGUCCGUUCAGUGGGGAAACGAUGUGGCGGUGCACAGACAACCAGGAUGUUGGCUUAGAAGCAGCCAUCAUUGAAAGAGUGCGUAAUAGCUCACUGGUCGAGUGGCGCUGCGCGGAAAAUGUAACGGGGCUAAACGGACCACCGAAGCUUGGGAUACGGAGGAAGUAUGGUAGGGGAGCGUUCCGUGGGCGGAGAAGCCGUCCUGAGAGGGAUGGUGGAGCGCACGGAAGUGAGAAUGCCGGUAUAAGUAGCGAAAAGAGGGGUGAGAAUCCCCUCCGCCGAAAGCCCAAGGGUUCCUGGGGAAGGAUCGUCCGCCCAGGGUAAGUCGGGACCUAAGGCGAGGCCGAGAGGCGUAGUCGAAGGAGAGCUGGUGGAGAUUCCAGCACCACUCUGUUCUGUUUGAGCUAGUGGGGUGACGCAGGAGGUCCAGGGAAGCGGCCGGAUGGAAGAGGCCGUCCAAGCAGUGAGCGGGGCGUGUAGGCAAAUCCGCACGCUGGGAACCGUGAGCUGUGAAGGGGAGGGAAGGACAGUACCGAAGUCCCGAGGGUCACACUGCCAAGAAAAGCCUCUCGCGAGGGACAGAGUGCCCGUACCGGAAACCGACACAGGUGGGCGAGGAGAGGAUCCUAAGGCGCGCGGGAGAACUCUCGUUAAGGAACUCGGCAAAAUGGCCCCGUAACUUCGGGAGAAGGGGCGCUCAUGGAGAGACAUGAGCCGCAGUGAAAAGGCCCAAGCGACUGUUUAGCAAAAACACAAGUCUCUGCGAAGCCGAAAAGCGAGGUAUUAGGGGCUGACGCCUGCCCGGUUGCUGAAGGUUAAGAGGAGGGCUUCUCCUUAGAGGAGAAGGUCCGAAUUGAAGCCCCAGUAAACGGCGGCCGUAACUAUAACGGUCCUAAGGUAGCGAAAUUCCUUGUCAGGUAAGUUCUGACCCGCACGAAAGGCGUAACGACUUGGGCGCUGUCUCAACGAGAGACCCGGUGAAAUUGUAGUACCUGUGAAGAUGCAGGUUACCCGCGGCUAGACGGAAAGACCCCGUGGAGCUUGACUGCAGCUUGAUAUGGGAGAUGGGCAUGUCAUGUACAGGAUAGGUGGGAGGCGUAGAGACAUGGGCGCCAGCCUGUGAGGAGCCGACGUUGGGAUACCACCCUUGAGAUGCCGGUCUUCUAACCUGGUACCCGAAAGCGGGUAUGGGGACAGUGUCAGGUGGGCAGUUUGACUGGGGCGGUCGCCUCCUAAAAGGUAACGGAGGCGCCCAAAGGUUCCCUCAGCGCGGAUGGAAAUCGCGCGGUGCGUGUAAAGGCAAAAGGGAGCUUGACUGCGAGACGGACGUGUCGAGCAGGGACGAAAGUCGGGCUUAGUGACCCGGCGGCACCGAGUGGAAGGGCCGUCGCUCAACGGAUAAAAGCUACCCCGGGGAUAACAGGCUGAUCUCCCCCAAGAGUCCACAUCGACGGGGAGGUUUGGCACCUCGAUGUCGGCUCAUCGCAUCCUGGGGCUGAAGUGGGUCCCAAGGGUUGGGCUGUUCGCCCAUUAAAGCGGUACGCGAGCUGGGUUCAGAACGUCGUGAGAC
rnacentral:rRNA from 1 species